rnacentral:rRNA from 1 species
CCUUACGGAGCCACAGUGGGAAAUAUUGCACAAUGGGCGCAAAGCCUGAUGCAGCCAUGCGCGUGUAUGAAGAAGGCCUUCGGGUUGUAAAGUACUUUCAAGCGGGGAGAAGGCGAUAAGGUUAAUAACCUUGUCGAUUGACGUUACCCGCAGAAGAAGCACCGGCUAACUCCGUGCCAGCAGCCGCGUAAUACGGAGGGUGCAAGCGUUAAUCGAAUUACUGGGCGUAAAGCGCACGCAGGCGGUCUGUCAAGUCGGAUGUGAAAUCCCCGGGCUCAACCUGGGAACUGCAUUCGAAACUGGCAGGCUAGAGUCUUGUAGAGGGGGGUAGAAUUCCAGGUGUAGCGGUGAAAUGCGUAGAGAUCUGGAGGAAUACCGGUGGCGAAGGCGGCCCCCUGGACAAAGACUGACGCUCAGGUGCGAAAGCGUGGGGAGCAAACAGGAUUAGAUACCCUGGUAGUCCACGCCGUAAACGAUGUCGACUUGGAGGUUGUGCCCUUGAGGCGUGGCUUCCGGAGCUAACGCGUUAAGUCGACCGCCUGGGGAGUACGGCCGCAAGGUUAAAACUCAAAGGAAUUGACGG